UUUUUUUUUUUUUUUUUUGGUGGAAUAUCAGAAGGAUACUAAAAGGCUUGCCGUGAAGCAAGGUAGUGCAUAGGACUGAUGGUAGAAGCUUCCUUCAAAGCCACUCCGAAGAGGAAAUAUCAUCACACAGUUUGGAAGGAAAUCUUGGAGGAAACCCAAACGAAACACUGCAAAAUAUUCUUCAAUCUAGAUACUCCUAGUCAAACUGCAUGUUUUCUGGAGAUCCGUGAACCAUUAGAUCAUUGUCAUCACAGGACAAGGAUGGGUGAUCACCUCGUUCUCUCCUCUGUUCAGCUCCUCCAGAAGAACUACAUCUCAGUCUAUUUCAAUGCCAACCAAAUAGGAAUGAGCUCCUGCAUCCCUUCUGCAUUUGGCUGGUUUCUCCUGCAGCUGCUGGCCUGUUUAACACUGUGGUUCAAUGCAGUGGGAGAACCAUUGCUGCAGAGCCUUGAGGAAACUGGAAAACCUUGGAUCUGGUAUACCACAGAGGCAGAAGCCAGGUCUGUGUUCAUCUCACCUGAAUGGUGCUCACUAGCAAGUGGAGGAUUGGCAUCAUGCAAUGAAGAAUCAGUCCUCAUCCAUCUUUCACCAUCCUCCAAGCUACAGCCUUGGUUUACUUUGCACCUGGAUAGAUGAGGGGGUAAAGACAGGGUGUGUAAAUUGAUUAUGGAACAAGUGUAUUUGGUUUUAUUCAUGCCUCUUGCUAGCAAACCUGAACCUCUUCAGAGCAAUGGCUCAUAAGCGUGUGUAAAGAAGGAAGUGGUGAAAGCAGGGGUCAGAUAGCAAGCAGAUUUCAUUCAGCCAAACAUACACACGUAAGCAAGUCUUUCUAAAAACAUUUAAAGAACAGCAGUCCAAAACUGGGUGCAUGUGUGGGGGGAGAAUAUCACAAGAUUCAUAUUGAAACAGCAAACUUAGGGACACGUCUUGGUUUUAAAACCCCAGACAUUUUUCUCUUUAUUAUUAUUAUUAUUAUUUUGUGCGUGUGUGUGUGUGUGUGUGUAUCUGUAUGUGCGUGUGCGUUAUUUCCUUUUUAAUUUUGCUUGCUUUCUGUUUGAUUGCUGAGCUGAUGGACUCAUCAUGCACCUUAUGGACAUCUCAGCAUUUUCAAGAGGCCUGCGCAAUGGGGAUGAUUUGGUUUGGUUGGGUUGGCUCUGCCAUGGUUUUGUUGAUCCAUUUUGUAAUGUUGGGGCAUGUUCCAGAUCCAUUGAUUAUGGCUGUGAAAGUGGGGUAAAUGUCCCACCAGAGCCAGUGGUAAGAAAACUGCAACAGCAACACAAACACAAUAUUUUUUAUAAGUACAUAAAAAGGAAAAUAAAAAAAUAAAAAAAUAAAAAAAAUAAAAAAGGAAGAAACCAAAGGUUUUGACAAACAAAGUGCCACGAAAGAUAAAUAUGGACCCUAUUGUCAUGCCUUGUACUCACAGCUGGAAGGUAGGAGUCUAAGGACAAAUAGCUGGCUUGGAGGGAAGUGGUUAUGAGUGAUGGGCUGUACUGCCUGGACAUGCGCACACAAAAGGAAAAAGAAGCUGUUAAAAAAAAGAAAGAAAAAGAAAAAAGAAAUCAAAGUGAACUGGUGUAAUCCUGCACUGUUACUGAAGUCAGAGAACACCACAGGGGAAAUCUGAGACUCACCUUGCUUCUUUUUGAUGUUUUCAGGGCUGUGUUUUUGUUUUAUUAUGGUUGUUUUCCACUGUUGCUGGUUUAUUUCUUCUUGCUGGUACAGAGUUUUUCAGCUGUAAAAAAAAUAUAUACAUAUAUUUCAAGAAAAACUUAAACACCUCAGAGACACUGAGAAUGAUACACUUAGGGGAAGUGGGAAGUGCCAUGAGAUUGGUAUUUAAUCCCUCCCGAGUUCCCAUUUAGGCAUUUCCUUUUUGUUCUCAACUCUCUUCUCUCUCCUACCCCAGGAUUUGAAAGAAGAUUUUGUAUUUUGAUUCUCUUUCAUCUCCUCCUCCUUUUUGUUUUCCUUCUUCAUUUACUUUUUUAACUUUGGUGCUUAAGCUGGUUUUGGUUUUCACUUGGAAAAAUGGUCCAGAAUUGUGGUGUAAAUGUGUGGGCUUUGUCCUCUGUCCAAUUUGGUGUCCUCCUCCUUUCCAUCCACUGUUCCAGCAUCUACUACAGUCUAUGAGAGGUCUCGGCAUCUUUCUUCCCAUCCUCUCCUAUUGAGCUAAUUAUUUUUCUAAAUGCAUGUAAAAUACAAUUAAAAACAAAGACACAAGCAGAAGAAUGAGCCCUACUAUGACAUGGAUGGGUUCUUUUUCUCUUCCUUUGCCUUGUUACCCCAUAACUCCUCACCUUACCACAAGUUUCAUCAAAAGUGUGCCGUGUGAGUUGUAUUUCACACUAGUUUUCAAGCCCCACAGUAAGAACAGGAGUCAAAACUCCCAGAAGUCAACAGACAGGUUCCUGGUAUCCAAAACAUACCAGAUAAUAGGCUGACAUUUAAUUUUUUUUCUCAAACACUGCAAUGAACACAAUGAAUGUUGGCACUUUCAGUACCAUCAGAAAUAUGGAAAGAGAAUGUGUGAAGACUCCUUGUGGUCCUACUCAAAGAGCAGAGUUUUUUCCACUGCAGAAUUUGCUCGGGAAUUCAUGGCUAGGUUUGAGGAACCACUCUGCAAUAUACCAUGUCCUCUUUGUGAGUGCAUUCACCAUCAGUGCCACAGUGAGCUGAGGCACAAUCCAUCAUGUCACGUCCUUUUGCAGACUGAGACAUCCGGUAAAUGGAGUUGUGUGAAAAGUUAUCUGGAAGAAGGUGUUAGACAUUGGUAGCACUUGAACAAACAGCACGUGAGAACUAGGAAAAAGGAGAAAUGUGGGGCAUCUUCAUCUCCUAACACACAUCAGUCCUUCUCUUCCCAAGCUUCACUCUGAUCUGAAUAUAUUUGAAGAUUUGGUCCAGCACGACAUACACCAGCCUUGCUCCAUUGGGCUUAAGCCAAUUUUCUCCAUCUUAGCCACUGCAGUUGUCUUGCCAUACCACUCAACACUAGACAACAUAAAAAGCAGUUUCAACAUGAAGAGAAUUUACCAGCAGAAUUCAGAUUGGUAUUUGUUUUAAUUGAAAUGCUUACUGAAGUUUCCAGAUCUUGUGCGUUACAGGGAAAAAGACAAGGGAAUCAUAUUAUUGUUUUUAUUAUUUAUAAUUAUGCUAUUGAAAAACUGAUUGAUAAAGUUAUAGGAAUCCACGGCUGCUCUCACUGUUGAGUAAUCCAACCCAAACAGUACAUGGAAUUACAGAAUGGUUUGGGUUGGAAGGGACCUUUCAGGUCAUCUAGUUCCAGCCCCACCUUCUAUGGGCAGCGACACCUCCCACUUAGACCAGGUUGCUCACAGUCCCAUUCAGCUUCCAGGGAGGGGACAUUCACAACCUCACUGGGCAAUAUUAGCUAAAUGCUGGGAUACCUAUGGUGUAGCAACCUAAGAAAAAGCAGAUAAUGCCAAGAGCAAAAUUGUUUUAAAGUAAGCCACAACACAAAAUGCAGACCUGUAUUUUCACGUGGAAUAUGAAGAGCUUUGAGAAGAAAUACCACUGUGUGGAAUGCUCAUCCAAAGGAAGUCUAAAAACCUGAAAGGACUGAGUUCCAGGGCUUCUCUUAGUGGGACAUACAAUUGUGUCUGCACAAAGGACCCUUGAGUCCAACGACUAUCACAUAAACAAAGAAAAGCCUGGACUGCUGGAGAUGACCAGAACUCUUCUCUCACAUCACCAAGGCAUCAGUAAUACAAGUCAUGCUUCACCCUUCCCAGUAGUCAGAAAAAGCUCAUGAAGCAGACGUAUCUGAUAGCCUGGAUAAGUAGCUUCAUGCUGUAAAGGGAAUGACAAAGAGGAAGAAAACUGGUCCCACUUCUAAAACUCCUGGGGCAGGCUCUAGCAUGUAAGAGGUUUGUUCCAUCAUAGCAAUGUAUUGUUCUCUGGGUGAGCAGUGGCCAUUGCUAAUAGAGGAAGAUGCCAUGACCAGAUAAGCACCUACCUGUAACCUCAUCAGUCAUUGAUAGUCCUUUCUUCUUCUUGGUUCAGCCUGCAGCUGAAGUUGCUGGAUAGAGGUUCUCUGUUUAAAAAUGUGCACGUUGGCCCCACUAGGUUUCUUUUGAUUUUUCGUGACUCACCAGAAACUACACUCAGGAGACCCAGUUUAUUUAUCUUCCACCCUUGAAUGAGGAAAUCAGUACAAAAAUCCAGCUCUUGAAUAACUGCUGUUGUCUAAAUGCCUGUAAGCCCCUGGUAACCUCCUCUCUUGGGUUGACUAGGGAGCCCAGGAAUGGAUUUGAUUAUUUACACAGCAAACUGUGUUUCUUUGUUGGCACAGGCCUUACCAUGACAGCUGUUGGGUAAAGAGGUACUGGCAUAACCUCAGUGAUUCCAGGGCAAUUUGGUCUGUGUUAUCUGCUGAGAUAAAUAUUGUCCUCUGGGGCAGAUGGAGAUCUUGGACUGCCCUAGCUCUUGCCAUCCAAGUUUGGUUUACUGUGGAGCAGACAACUGAAAAUCAAGUGAUGCUCCACGUCAUGGUGUGAACCUCAGCCUCCUGGCCAUUCACAGCUUGAGUUUUCUUGCUUUGCAUCCAGCUUUGUCUCCAUUUCAGAGUAUAGUUGAGUCCGUAGUGUUCUGCAAUUGUCCCUCAUGUCUGCCACUGUGCAACAUACCUUCCCCUCUGAGCAUAGUUUUGUCCUAUGGAGGAUAAGUAUUAUGCAGAGAAUGCUUUGAAAACAGAGCUGGUCAACCACGAUUGAUUUGGGACUUCUCAGUUCUCUGCACUGUUAGAGAAGCACCCAAGGACACAGUGGCUUAUGGCAAUUAAUUAAUAUGCAAAAGAAUGACAAAAGAAAAAAAAAAAAGGAUUACAGUUGGAAAGAAUAAAGCCACUACCAAAAACAAACAAACAAACAAACAAACAACAACAAACCACAGAGGAUAUAAAGCUGCUUAGUCCAACCAAUCUGUUACAUGCGUGAUUUCUGUUGUCAUUGUCAUUGUUUGUUCCUUUUUUGUUUGUUAAUCUUCUGUUUUAAAAGUGGAGAGUUUACCUCAAGAAUUUCUUUCUGCUUGGAACCAGAUCACCUCAAAGACACCUGCAGCAAAGAGAAGCAUGCAGGGAAGCUCAGCAAAGUCAACCUGCUUAUGGAAAAUGGGGGGAGCAGGACAUUUAGGCUCUUUCAACAUCCCCUUCUCUUGCUGGCAUGGUUUGAAUCUGUGAGGGCAGUAUUUCUGAGCAGGAGAGGAUGCUGUUCACUUUCAGGCAGACUGGAAAACAAGAGCCAGAGAAACCAAGGCACACGUCUGAGCUUGACAUCCUGUCUUAAAUAUCUUAAAGAAACUUGGUGUUACUUAAAAUUUCUUCACUGCUCUUUCCCCAUUCCCUGGAGAAAAUCCACUUUCCAGCCCAGGGUGGGGUAAGGAAGCAGAGAUUAGGUGCUAGCUAAACGCUCCCAGCAUUUUCCCCAAGGAAUCUAGAUGAGAGGCAACUGGAUUAUUUAAUGCCACCAGACAGGCCCUUCCUAGUGUCUGACCCUGUGUCUUGGAUGUACACAUGAGCCCAGAAGUCUCAUUCUCUGUUUUUGCUAAGGUUUCCACCUUAAGUACAAAAAUCAAUGUAAAGACAUAUCCUUUCACUACAGUGUUACCAACAGCCUCAAAGAGAUGUCAAGACAGCAUUAGAAAGGAGGUUGGGAUCCCUUUUUUUUUUAGGUUGUUGUUGUUGAUGGUUUGAUUUUCUUUUGAAUUGAUCCUAGUUAAAAAAUAUACUAUUUAAAUUGGAAUCCCAUUGUUACUUGGUAAAGGCAAAGCUUCUGUACCUUUGUUAUAAUUAAUUGUAUACCUGUGUAUGUAAAUAUAAGGCAUUCCUAUUUUGCAGUCCAGAACAAAAACAAAACAAAAAAAAUAAUAAAAAAACAAAACAAGAAAAAAAAACAAGGAAAAAAACUAUUUGUAAUAUAGAAUAAAGUUUAUUAAAAAAAAAUAAAGAAAUAAAAAGUG
ensembl:lncRNA